rnacentral:rRNA from 1 species
GUCGAGCGAACAGACGAGGAGCUUGCUCCUCUGACGUUAGCGGCGGACGGGUGAGUAACACGUGGAUAACCUACCUAUAAGACUGGGAUAACUUCGGGAAACCGGAGCUAAUACCGGAUAAUAUAUUGAACCGCAUGGUUCAAUAGUGAAAGACGGUUUUGCUGUCACUUAUAGAUGGAUCCGCGCCGCAUUAGCUAGUUGGUAAGGUAACGGCUUACCAAGGCAACGAUGCGUAGCCGACCUGAGAGGGUGAUCGGCCACACUGGAACUGAGACACGGUCCAGACUCCUACGGGAGGCAGCAGUAGGGAAUCUUCCGCAAUGGGCGAAAGCCUGACGGAGCAACGCCGCGUGAGUGAUGAAGGUCUUCGGAUCGUAAAACUCUGUUAUUAGGGAAGAACAAAUGUGUAAGUAACUAUGCACGUCUUGACGGUACCUAAUCAGAAAGCCACGGCUAACUACGUGCCAGCAGCCGCGGUAAUACGUAGGUGGCAAGCGUUAUCCGGAAUUAUUGGGCGUAAAGCGCGCGUAGGCGGUUUUUUAAGUCUGAUGUGGAAGCCCACGGCUCAACCGUGGAGGGUCAUUGGAAACUGGAAAACUUGAGUGCAGAAGAGGAAAGUGGAAUUCCAUGUGUAGCGGUGAAAUGCGCAGAGAUAUGGAGGAACACCAGUGGCGAAGGCGACUUUCUGGUCUGUAACUGACGCUGAUGUGCGAAAGCGUGGGGAUCAA